GGAAAUGCCGUGGAAGUCGGAAACGGAAGCCGUUGACGGGCGACCAAAGCGAGAGAGGCCCGGGAAAACGGUCGAGUCGGAGAAAAGCGGGAACUCGGGGAUUUGGGGGAUUCGGGGACACGGAUAUCGACAAACACUCGAAAGAGUGAUCCACAACAUAUACAACAUCUACAACCACCAACCAUCUAGACCUGUCUUGUCCUCCUCAAUGACUUGCUUUUGCCCUACAAUAUCUCUGACAACGAUGUUUGCUUUUUUCCACGCUAGACUUUUUCGCGCGCUCUUGUUUGGGACCCCACACUCUCCGCCGGUCUCCUCAACGUCUACACCUGCCCCCAGGGGCCAGAUUCAGGGUGCAUAGCCGUGUCGACAGGGCCAGGAAUGUGUGGAGAAACUGUGGAGAAGGCUGGUUUGAGCAGAUUUGAGCGGGUUUGGAGAGCAGAUAUUUUUCCACAAACAAAUGACGCAAAGUCAUAAUAAAAUAUCGACAACGCGUUCGAGUUGCGAACGCGUUCGUCUACAAAGGUGUCAGCAGUCGUGUACUAAAGCAGCCAUCUCAUCGCUACAAGACGUUACAUGUUCACAUAGUAACACAGCUGUAAACUGCGCGCUGUUGGAGAUUGACCGCGGUACAAUGGUAUCCAGAAAAGUUGAGUAAAACGUUUCUACAAUGCCUCCCUGUACGUUUGCGGCGGUUGAGUGGGCGUACAAGGUGAGAGAGUACAGUAUGGUUAUCUGUGGCUGAUAUCAGACGUUCAAAUGGAGAGUCUGGAUGUUGCUAUCUCCACGGAUACCGUCCAGGGUACAGCAGUGUAUGGUCUGUACCGACAAUGAACCGACUACGCACCGGCUACGAGUGGACCGCACCACUGGCUUGUUGUUCAAUGCAAUUGUCGUACAAUACCGGUUCCGUACCCGUACCUACAGCACUGCCCGCGAACAAUAACAUAAUGCCUCAGAUCGUUACACCUGUUCCUACAAACUUCCAAGAAUACCCCACCCACGUCCACAUGGCAAGGCUGGCCCAACAGAAUCUUGAUGGUUCUGCAAAGACUCCCCCAAGGAACCCCCUGAAGCUCCUGUUGAACUCUGCGGGCUCCUCCCUGGCCGCUGGCUCGUUGUAGAUAAUGCAAGGCCCUGUCAGUUACGCCAGUUCCGCAUGCCGGUGCAAAUAAGCGUCGUUGGCGGCAACUUUGGAGACGCAAAGUCGAACCAUGUCAUAGCCCCACCAUCCCACCUACCUAUCGAGUUGAUCCGAUUCAUCCCCUCAAAGAUAGAGCGAGGUUAGUGGAUCGAAGUGUUCAGGGCGCCAUGUUAGGGUGUGGAACCAGAGUGUUAGGGAGUCAAGUAGACAUACUCCUGGUCGGUCUUUCGGUUUUUGUUUGCCGCCACGUGACAUGACCUCAUGACCGCCAGGUACACGGUCUCCACUAUCCAGCAGCCAACAUGUCUAUUGUUCCACCAACAACCCUCAAACAUCACCAGACUGGCAAGCAACUCAUUGCAUUGGGCUGCUUUAGCGAAAAACCCAAAUCGAAGCGGGAGCGGGGAUUUGAGGGGCUGUGGAGACAGACACUAUGUGAUUGUGGUUUUGAGAGAAAGUCACGUGGAGCGGAGAAAUCGACGAAAUUGCUCUUGGAGGACGCUGUCACGUGAUUCGAGCGCCAUUCUUGCGACCGCAGCUAACACUGUUUCCAGACCGUUGCGAUCUUGGCGUCUCAGUUGCCGUGCCAUCAUCAAGCCCGUUUGUAUUGUAUUUUUCAUCAGAGUUCGCCGGGGUGGCCAGGGGCGUCGAGUGGGGCAGCAAUGUAAACAGACAAGCUGAACCAUGGACACGACUGAAUGUUAUCGGUGAGUGUAUCGUUCGACGAGUGGUUCAGGGUUGCGACAAUUUCGAUCGAGUCGUCAACAAGGCCUACAAGUAGGUGGCUUGUGGUUGGAUGGGAUUUACAGUACGAAUUACGAGUGCGCUUCCGAGCGGUGGCUUGAAUUCAAUCUGGUAGGAGAGGAGGUCGGUUGGUGGUGACUACGAAUGGUACUUGCUGUAGUCAUACUCGUGCCCAAUCUAACCGCGAGCUAUGGCAGGAGACAAUGGCUGCUGCUACGAGUAGUCACUAAAGGAUUCAAUCAAGGCAGCAAGAACAUGGUGGAUCUCCGCUUCAGAGUCUGAGUGAGCCGCCAACAAGGUCAAAGUACAAAAUGAGUGCGAGUACAGUACAUAUUGUGCUUGUAGACGAUGAUUACGAGGAUAACACAACAUCUCGACGUCCUUUUUGACCGAAUACAGCUGCUUGUACGAGGUCUUUUCAGAUAUGGAAGCUUGAGGCUUUUAGUCACCCUUGUCACCAUUAGUCACCACUUCCCCGUCUCUCAGUCUCACUCUUCGACCGACAAAGUCUCUUGCAACUCCGUGUAGAUUGAUCUGAUGAACAUGGGUGCAGGACAACAUCAGACAUCAGUCUAAAGAUGCUCACCGGUCUGAUUGCACCAUAAUGAGGUCAUAACCUAUACAUGUUCUUGGUGUUCUUGGUGUCCUUGGUCCUAUAAACCUCGGCUCGUCAAUCCUGGCUCGUCAACCCGGCUAAUCCUGCCCUGCACGAGUUCGCGCAUCGACACUACAUUAUCGUAUUGUCUCAACUGUGUCUUGGCGAUCUCCGUAGAUCCUCGCUACUGCACUUGCAGAGUUUCUGAGUACGAUAAUGACUAGACCAUGCGGUAUGAACAAGGCUAUUGGCAGCUGAAAGUCAGAGCACGGUAUUGGUAGAUUCAUCGGCUGCAGCCAUUUGGUUAGGCCGGAUCUUUCUUCUGUCCUCUCGAGCCGAAGCCGUCGAAUCACGCACCAACAGUGCUUGCUCUCACUCUCUCUUGUCCACCACCUUUUGCUGUGUCCAUUAGUCUCACUCUCCAGACUCUUGGUGUCACGUUUGCAGCUGCCGAAACCCUAUCUAGCCAGUCCAACCACAAUCUCUUUAUAUUCCUUCUUCCCACAGUUGAUUCGGCACUCGACCUGAUCGACACUGCACCUCUGAGAGGCAACUGGAGAGAGAGAGAGACUGUAGAGUUGCCGAGGCCCAUGAUGGUGGUCCUGCACGUGUAGACUUUUGUCAAGGGACGUAGAAUGGGAAGAAAACGUGCAAAACGGAAACGGCAAGAGAAAAUCAAAUCUACGCACUCUCUAAACCACCUUUAUCAACUUUGAACUCCCCAAAACCUCCUCCAAACUCCCCCAAACCCCCCCUAGAAUCGUCCCCGACCCUUCGACCCCCCACACUCUAAUUUCGCUAAGCUCCAACCUACUCUCUCGCUUACCUCUCUGGCAGUCUAAAUCUGUUCAGACAGUGUAUAUUUUCGGGCGAAACUGGCGCAGCUGUCCACAGCCCCUUUACAGAGCCCUACAGUGGCAAAUACUCAACUGUACCGAAAACUCCCGACGUCUGAAACCCACAUAUACAGUUUCAUACAGGCAUGCAUGCGACAAGGCAGACCCAGAGCCGAUAGACCGACAGAGCUCGUCUGCAGACGUCGAGUACGAGUACCUGUCUUCACAUGGGGUAUCCUACAGAACCGUUGGCACAUGUUAGGGGCGGAAAGCGGAAAGCGGAAAGCGGAAAGCCGGAAAGGGCGGAAGGACAGGUUUCGUGUGUUGAUACUACAUGUGGAUACGAUUGUCUGUUACUGGCUCCCGAUGCAGUACAGUUGUUAGGUCGCUCUUGCCGUCUAUAAUAUA
rnacentral:misc_RNA from 1 species